UUAGGGAGAUGGGCAUCGAACCCAUACUUAAGGAAUCAAAAUCCUUCGUAAUUCCAUUUUACUACCCCCU
rnacentral:tRNA from 1 species